rnacentral:rRNA from 1 species
GACGAACGCUGGCGGCGUGCCUAACACAUGCAAGUUGAGCGACGAACCAGGGCUUGCCCUGGGGCAAAGCAGCGAACGGGUGAGUAACACGUGGGUAACCUGCCCCGAUGAUCGGGACAACCCGAGGAAACUCGGGCUAAUACCGAAUGUGCUCGCCGGACACCAGUCCGGCGCGUAAAGGAAGCUUCGGCCUCCGCAUCGGGAGGGGCCCGCGGCCCAUUAGCUUGUUGGUGAGGUAACGGCUUACCAAGGCAACGAUGGGUAGCUGGUCUGAGAGGACGAUCAGCCGCACUGGGACUGAGACACGGCCCAGACUCCUACGGGAGGCAGCAGUGGGGAAUCUUGCGCAAUGCGCGAAAGCGUGACGCAGCAACGCCGCGUGGGGGAAGAAGGCCUUCGGGUUGCAAACCCCUUUCAGGAGGGACGAAGGUUCGGCGGUGAAUAGCCGUCCGGACUGACGGUACCUCCACAAGAAGCCCUGGCUAACUACGUGCCAGCCGCCGCGGUAAGAC